rnacentral:tRNA from 1 species
GAGGGUGUAGCUCAUGGGUAGACCACAUGCCUGGCAUGCUUGAGGUCUUGGGUUCAAUCCCCAGUACCUCUA